rnacentral:rRNA from 1 species
UACAUAGGGAGCAAGCGUUAUCCGGAUUUAUUGGGUGUAAAGGGUGCGUAGACGGGAAAUUAAGUUAGUUGUGAAAUCCCUCGGCUUAACUGAGGAACUGCAACUAAAACUGAUUUUCUUGAGUACUGGAGAGGAAAGUGGAAUUCCUAGUGUAGCGGUGAAAUGCGUAGAUAUUAGGAGGAACACCAGUGGCGAAGGCGACUUUCUGGACAGUAACUGACGUUGAGGCACGAAGUGUGGGGAGCAAACAGG